rnacentral:rRNA from 1 species
UACGUAGGGGGCAAGCGUUGUCCGGAAUCAUUGGGCGUAAAGAGCGUGUAGGCGGCCUGAUAAGUCGGCUGUGAAAGUCAAGGGCUCAACCCUUGAAUGCCGGCCGAUACUGUCAGGCUAGAGUCCGGAAGAGGCGGGUGGAAUUCCUGGUGUAGCGGUGAAAUGCGCAGAUAUCAGGAGGAACACCUAUGGCGAAGGCAGCUCGCUGGGACGGUACUGACGCUGAGACGCGAAAGCGUGGGGAGCGAACAGG